rnacentral:lncRNA from 1 species
AACAAUAAAAAUAAUUAAGCUAUUUUAAUUAAAUUAAAAGCAGAAAAAUACUUAGCAACCAUGUUCAUCAAUUUAGAAUAAAAUAAAAAAAUUAAAGGGAAAGAAACUAGAAAACAAAAUUGGCGUUUCUCCGUAUCUCAGAUUGUGUUUCCUUUCCUCCUUCCUUCUAUCUUGCCCCUUUGCACAAUUGUUCCUUAAGGUACCAAAUUUUACUGUUGAAAAGAACUUCUAAAAUACCCCUCUCAAACUCUUGAGUUUCUUUCUCAAAUGGGAAGUGAAAGAAUUGAGAAUGAGAGAAGAGAUGAGAAAUGAGGGAUUAGUAAAAUGAGUGAAU